UCUUCCAAUGCGAUGCCAGUAGCACCCUCAAUUGUGAAAAUCAAAAAUGUCUCCCGACAUCGCCACUUGUUUCCUGAGGGCAAUUACCAGUUGUUGUAAACUACUGUUUUACAUACUUUUUUGGUUUUUGAAUCUCUAAAGAGAGGAGUUGUGAUAAGAUGUGUCUUUUCCAGCUCUAAUAUUCUCUGACCUGUCCAGCCAGGCUCACAAAAUCGAUGAUAAACUCUUAUCUGUUCUUAUCAGAUGCAGAUAAGAAACAUGGGAAGCCACAAGAAAGCCAAGUAGCCUGGGAAAUUGUGGUCAUUGAGCCAUGAGCAAAAAAUAACAGUUGAUCCUGUUGGGGCCACCUGACAGCAGAGAUGGCUGAGGACCCCCGAGCAAUGUGUGAAUGAAAGACUUAAGAAUACAUCUCGCCCAGGCAGCCUGGGUUCAACUCUCCAUGUGAGAAUACCAAGCUUGUUUGGGCACCGUGCCUCACAUCUGUAAUCUCACUUUGAGAGGCUGAGGCAGGAAGAUUACUUGAAGCCAAGAGUUGGAGAACAACCUGGGCAACAAA